rnacentral:rRNA from 1 species
GACGAACGCUGGCGGCGUGCUUAACACAUGCAAGUCGAACGGAAAGGCCUCUUUCUGGGUGUACUCGCGUGGCGAACGGGUGAGUAACACGUGAGUAACCUGCCCUUGUCUUUGGGAUAACUUCAUUAAACUGGGGCUAGUACCGGCUAGGAGCUCCUUCUGCAUGGUGGGGGUUGGAGAGUUUCGGCGGUUGGGGAUGGACUCGCGGCUUAUCAGCUUGUUGGUGGGGUAGUGGCUUACCAAGACUUUGCCGGGUAGCCGGCCUGAGAGGGUGACCGGCCACAUUGGGACUGAGAUACGGCACAGACUCCUACGGGAGGCAGCAGUGGGGAAGAUUGCACAAUGGGUGGAAGCCUGAUGCAGCAACGCCGUGUGCGGGAUGACGGCCUUCGGGUUGUAAACCGCAUUCGCACAUGACGAAGCAUUGUGUGACGGUAGUGGGUAAAGAAGCACCGGCUAACUACGUG